UAUAAUUAUUUAUAGUGUAACCUGGUCAGUGAAUAAUAUUUAAACACACGCUUUAAAAUGAGAGUGAUAAUGUAGCAUAAUAAUUUGACAUUUAAUUGGUGUAUUGUAUGAAUGGUUGAAUGAUUUUUUAAUUGUCUCAAAAAUAUUUUUAUAAAAAUUUGAAUAUUUAUGCAAAUAUAAAUAUAGUAAUUUAAGACGAAAAGACCCCAUAAACCUUUAUAUAUUAAUAACUAUAUUUAGCUGGGACGGCUACUUUUUAUAAAAAACAAAAGUAAAGAUAUUUUUUUUCAAAUAUGAAUGUAAAGACCAUUUCUUUUAAAAAAGAAAUAAUAAUAGAUAAAAGGUACUUUGGGGGUAACAGCGUAAUUUAAAUUUAAAGAUGUUAUUUAUAUUUAAGCUUGCGACCUCGAUGUUGAAUUAAGAUUACCUAAAAAAAAUGUAGAAGUUGAUUAUGGUUGGACUGUUCGUCCAUUAAUAUCUUACAUGAUUUGAG
rnacentral:rRNA from 1 species